rnacentral:lncRNA from 1 species
AUUAACCUUUCUCAGUAAACAUUAGAGCAAUAAAAUUAUCUUAGAACUAUUUCUUAGAAAAAUUUUAGGUUGCUGAAUUGUUGGUUUAAAUAGACCAGCAUCUUACCCUGUGUGAUGGGAGGCCGGAUUGGAUCGAGUCAUGUUCAAAAUGACAUAAGAUUGGGUUGAUCCGAGUCAUAUUUGAAAUGACGUGAGAUCGAUUGGACUGACUCACAAUUGAAAUAUAUGGGGUCUAUACACUUUACGUGUAAUGAUUAGUGCCAACGAUUCGAUAUAAACAUGCUUUUCUUCUCUCAAACAAAAUUAAGUAUUGCAAA